GUAGGUGGCAAGCGUUGUCCGGAAUUAUUGGGAGUAAAGCGCGCGCAGGCGGUUCUUUAAGUCUGAUGUGAAAGCCCACGGCUCAACCGUGGAGGGUCAUUGGAAACUGGAGAACUUGAGUACAGAAGAGGAAAGCGGAAUUCCACGUGUAGCGGUGAAAUGCGUAGAGAUGUGGAGGAACACCAGUGGCGAAGGCGGCUUUCUGGUCUGUAACUGACGCUGAGGCGCGAAAGCGUGGGGAGCAAACAGGAUUAGAUACCCUGGUAGUCCACGCCGUAAACGAUGAGUGCUAAGUGUUAGGGGGUUUCCGCCCCCCUUAGUGCUGCAGCUAACGCAUUAAGCACUCCGCCUGGGAGUACGGCCGCAAGGCUG
rnacentral:rRNA from 1 species